UUGGUGGGGUUCCCUCAGAUCUGCUCUCCUACCUUAAAGUGUUUCCAGGGUGUGUGGUUUCCCCACAGGAACUCACUGAUGAGCAUGUUUGUAUGGUGGUAGAUGUACAUGUCAUUGCUUUGCUUUCCACGUGUGGCAGUGACAUGGUACAGAGGUGAACAGUACAGUAAUUGAGGAUCAUUAUGCAUCUUCUUCAGUUUUACCUUAGCAAUGCAAGUCCUCUGAAUCUGUGAAUCACAUGAGAAUGGAUCUUUUUAGGAUACUGUAGAUAUCAGAUACACAACUCUCAUUACAACAGCACAUGAAGAAAGGAAGGUGGAUGAACCUGAUCUGAGAUUUCUGCAUAAAUAAGGUUUUCUUAGCUAAAUAGAGGCUCUUUUCAUGUGAAAAUAAACCAAAGUUGCAGACUAUUGGCCUGUGUAACUAAAUUUAUGAAGUUUUCUAAAAGCACAUUAUUGACUUGUUUAUCUGUGAUUCAGUGUCGCUACAUUUUAUGAUGUAAAUGUG